rnacentral:rRNA from 1 species
ACAAACGCUGGCGGCGUGCGUAACACAUGCAAGUCGAACGCACCAGCCCUUCGGGUUGGUGAGUGGCGGACGGGUGAGGAACACGUGGAUGACCUGUCCCGACGUGGGGGAUAUCUUCCAGAAAUGGGGGUUAAUCCCGCAUACGUCCGAAGCCUGCAAGCUUCGGGGGAAAGCCCUUGGGCAACUGAGGGGCGCGGUGGGAGGGGUCCGCGGCCGAUUAGCUGGUUGGUGGGGUAAGAGCCUACCAAGGCAACGAUCGGUAGCUGGUCUGAGAGGAUGAUCAGCCACACUGGGAUUGAGAACGGCCCAGACUCCUACGGGGGGCAGCAGUGAGGAAUCUUCGGCAAUGGGCGAAAGCCUGACCGAGCGACGCCGCGUGCGGGAAGACGGCCCUUCGGGUUUGUAAACCGCUUUUUGGGUGGGACGAGAAGACGGACGGUACCACCCGAAGAAGCCUCGGCUAACUACGUGCCAGCAGGCCGCGGGUAAUACGUAGGAGGCGAGCGUUGUCCGGAGUUACUGGGGCGUAAAGGGUGCGCAGGGCGGCCAGUUACGUGUGCGGUGAAAUCUCCCGGCUCACCUGGGAGGGUUGCCGCGCAAACGGGAUGGGCUUGAGGCUCGGGGAGGGGCGUGGGGAUUCCGGGUGGAGCGGGUGAAAUGCGUAGAGAUCCGGAGGAACACUGACGGCGUAAAGCAGCGCCCUAAACGAGUCCUGACGCUCAGGCACGAAAGCUGGGGGAGCAAACAGGAUUAGAUACCCUGGUAGUCCCCAGCCCUCAACGAUGUCCACCAGGUGCCGCGGGUAUCGACCCCUGCGGUGCCGCAGCUCACGUGAUGAGUGGACCGGCCUGGGGAGUACGGCCGCAAGGUUUGAAACUCAAAGGAAUUGACGGGGGGCCCGCACAAGCAGCGGAGUGUGUGGUUUAAAUUCGAUGCAACGCGAAGAACCUUACCUGGGUUUGACAUGGGCAUGCACCAGAGGUAACUCUCUGUCCCGCAAGGGCGUGUCCACAGGUGCUGCAUGGCUGUCGUCAGCUCGUGCCGUGAGGGUGUUGGGUUAAGUCCCCUAACGAGCGCAACCCCUGGAGUCCGUUGUAAUUCUCGGGCUCGACUGCCGCGCGCAACGCGGAGGAAGGUGGGGAUGACGUCAAGUCAGCACGGCCCUUACGUCCAGGGCGACACACACACUACAAUGGGCGGGACAACGGGAGGCGAAACCGCGCGAGCGGGAGCCAAUCCCAGCCAAACCCGCUCUCAGUUCGGAUCGCAGGCUGCAACUCGCCUGCGUGAAGCUGGAGUUGCUAGUAACCGUGGGUCAGCAUACCGCGGUGAAUACGUUCCCGGGCCUUGUACACACCGCCCGUCACACCACGAAAGCGGGCAAACACCUGAAGCCGUCGGGCUAACUCUUCUUCGGGAGAGAGGCAGACGUUGAGGGUGGGGUUCGUGAUUGGGGUG